GAUGAACGCUCGCGGGAGGCCUAACACAUGCAAGCCGAGCGGUAUUGUUUCUUCGGAAAUGAGAGAGCGGCGUACGGGUGCGUAACACGUGUGCAACCUGCCUUUAUCUGGGGGAUAGCCUUUCGAAAGGAAGAUUAAUACUCCAUAAUAUAUUGAACGGCAUCGUUUAAUAUUGAAAGCUCCGGCGGAUAGAGAUGGGCACGCGCAAGAUUAGCUAGUUGGUGAGGUAACGGCUCACCAAGGCGAUGAUCUUUAGGGGGCCUGAGAGGGUGAUCCCCCACACUGGUACUGAGACACGGACCAGACUCCUACGGGAGGCAGCAGUGAGGAAUAUUGGUCAAUGGGUGCAAGCCUGAACCAGCCAUCCCGUGUGAAGGACGACUGCCCUAUGGGUUGUAAACUUCUUUUGUAUAGGGAUAAACCUACCCUCGAGAGGGUAGCUGAAGGUACUAUACGAAUAAGCACCGGCUAACUCCGUG
rnacentral:rRNA from 1 species